rnacentral:tRNA from 1 species
GUAGGUGUAGCUCAAUCUGGAUAGAGCACUAGAUUGUGGUUCUAGGUGUCGCGGGUUCGAAUCCCGUCACCUACCCCA